rnacentral:rRNA from 1 species
UUUUUCUUCUUUAUCCGGCCUCAAGUCUGGUGCCAGCAGCCGCGGUAAUUCCAGCUCCAAUAGCGUAUAUUAAAGUUGUUGCAGUUAAAAAGCUCGUAGUUGAAUUUCGGGGUUAGUAGGUUGGUCAUGCCUCUGGUAUGUACUGGUCUCACUGAUUCCUCCUUCCUGAUGAGCCGUAAUGCCAUUAAUUUGGUGUUGCGGGGAAUUUGGACUGUUUCUUUGAAAAAAUUAGAGUGUUUAAAGCAAGCUUUCGCUUGAAUACAUUAGCAUGGAAUAAUGAAAUAGGACGUUCGAUCCUAUUUUGUUGGUUUCUAGGAUCGACGUAAUGAUUAAUAGGGAUAGUUGGGGGCAUUAGUAUUCAAUUGUCAGAGGUGAAAUUCUUGGAUUUAUUGAAGACUAACUACUGCGAAAGCAUUUGCCAAGGAUGUUUUCAUUAAUCAAGAACGAAAGUUAGGGGAUCGAAGACGAUCAGAUACCGUCGUAGUCUUAACCAUAAACUAUGCCGACUAGGGAUCGGAUGAUGUUAAUGUUAAUGACUCAUGGAACG